AGAGUUUGAUCAUGGCUCAGAUUGAACGCUGGCGGCAGGCCUAACACAUGCAAGUCGAACGGUAACAGGAAGCAGCUUGCUGCUUCGCUGACGAGUGGCGGACGGGUGAGUAAUGUCUGGGAAGCUGCCUGAUGGAGGGGGAUAACUACUGGAAACGGUAGCUAAUACCGCAUAAUGUCGCAAGACCAAAGAGGGGGACCUUCGGGCCUCUUGCCAUCGGAUGUGCCCAGAUGGGAUUAGCUUGUUGGUGGGGUAACGGCUCACCAAGGCGACGAUCCCUAGCUGGUCUGAGAGGAUGACCAGCCACACUGGAACUGAGACACGGUCCAGACUCCUACGGGAGGCAGCAGUGGGGAAUAUUGCACAAUGGGCGCAAGCCUGAUGCAGCCAUGCCGCGUGUAUGAAGAAGGCCUUCGGGUUGUAAAGUACUUUCAGCGGGGAGGAAGGGAGUAAAGUUAAUACCUUUGCUCAUUGACGUUACCCGCAGAAGAAGCACCGGCUAACUCCGUGCCAGCAGCCGCGGUAAUACGGAGGGUGCAAGCGUUAAUCGGAAUUACUGGGCGUAAAGCGCACGCAGGCGGUUUGUUAAGUCAGAUGUGAAAUCCCCGGGCUCAACCUGGGAACUGCAUCUGAUACUGGCAAGCUUGAGUCUCGUAGAGGGGGGUAGAAUUCCAGGUGUAGCGGUGAAAUGCGUAGAGAUCUGGAGGAAUACCGGUGGCGAAGGCGGCCCCCUGGACGAAGACUGACGCUCAGGUGCGAAAGCGUGGGGAGCAAACAGGAUUAGAUACCCUGGUAGUCCACGCCGUAAACGAUGUCGACUUGGAGGUUGUGCCCUUGAGGCGUGGCUUCCGGAGCUAACGCGUUAAGUCGACCGCCUGGGGAGUACGGCCGCAAGGUUAAAACUCAAAUGAAUUGACGGUGGCCCGCACAAGCGGUGGAGCAUGUGGUUUAAUUCGAUGCAACGCGAAGAACCUUACCUGGUCUUGACAUCCACGGAAGUUUUCAGAGAUGAGAAUGUGCCUUCGGGAACCGUGAGACAGGUGCUGCAUGGCUGUCGUCAGCUCGUGUUGUGAAAUGUUGGGUUAAGUCCCGCAACGAGCGCAACCCUUAUCCUUUGUUGCCAGCGGUCCGGCCGGGAACUCAAAGGAGACUGCCAGUGAUAAACUGGAGGAAGGUGGGGAUGACGUCAAGUCAUCAUGGCCCUUACGACCAGGGCUACACACGUGCUACAAUGGCGCAUACAAAGAGAAGCGACCUCGCGAGAGCAAGCGGACCUCAUAAAGUGCGUCGUAGUCCGGAUUGGAGUCUGCAACUCGACUCCAUGAAGUCGGAAUCGCUAGUAAUCGUGGAUCAGAAUGCCACGGUGAAUACGUUCCCGGGCCUUGUACACACCGCCCGUCACACCAUGGGAGUGGGUUGCAAAAGAAGUAGGUAGCUUAACCUUCGGGAGGGCGCUUACCACUUUGUGAUUCAUGACUGGGGUGAAGUCGGAACAAGGUAACCGUAGGGGAACCUGCGGUUG
rnacentral:rRNA from 1 species